rnacentral:tRNA from 1 species
UCCCUGGUGGUCCAGUGGUUGAGACUCUGCACUCCCAAUGCAGGGGGUCCAGGUUCAAUCCCUGGUUGGGGAA